rnacentral:rRNA from 1 species
UGGGGAAUCUUCCGCAAUGGACGAAAGUCUGACGGAGCAACGCCGCGUGAGUGAUGAAGGUCUUCGGAUUGUAAAGCUCUGUUAAUCGGGACGAAAGAGUUCUGUGUGAAUAAUGCAGAAAAGUGACGGUACCGGAAUAGAAAGCCACGGCUAACUACGUGCCAGCAGCCGCGGUAAUACGUAGGUGGCAAGCGUUGUCCGGAAUUAUUGGGCGUAAAGCGCGCGCAGGCGGCCUAUCCAGUCUGUCUUAAAAGUUCGGGGCUCAACCCCGUGAUGGGAUGGAAACUAGUAGGCUAGAGUAUCGGAGAGGAAAGCGGAAUUCCUAGUGUAGCGGUGAAAUGCGUAGAUAUUAGGAAGAACACCAGUGGCGAAGGCGGCUUUCUGGACGAAAACUGACGCUGAGGCGCGAAAGCCAGGGGAGCGAACGGG